CAUCAUCACCAUCAUCCUGAUUAGUCUUUCGGGCGAUGUGUGCUGGAAGACGAUCAACGACUCUUCCGGUGGCUGAAAUGCGAAUUGAGAAAACCCUCGGAAGAUUAUCUUCCGAGGGUUUUUUUA
rnacentral:sRNA from 1 species